GACGAACGCUGGCGGCGUGCUUAACACAUGCAAGUCGAACGGUGAUGCUCCAGCUUGCUGGAGUGGAUCAGUGGCGAACGGGUGAGUAACACGUGAGCAACCUGCCCCAGACUCUGGAAUAAGCGCUGGAAACGGCGUCUAAUACUGGAUACGAAACUGGCCCGCAUGGGCAUGGUUUGGAAAGUUUUUCGGUUUGGGAUGGGCUCGCGGCCUAUCAGCUUGUUGGUGAGGUAAUGGCUCACCAAGGCGACGACGGGUAGCCGGCCUGAGAGGGCGACCGGCCACACUGGGACUGAGACACGGCCCAGACUCCUACGGGAGGCAGCAGUGGGGAAUAUUGCACAAUGGGCGAAAGCCUGAUGCAGCGACGCCGCGUGAGGGAUGACGGCCUUCGGGUUGUAAACCUCUUUCAGCAGGGAAGAAGCGAAAGUGACGGUACCUGCAGAAGAAGCACCGGCUAACUACG
rnacentral:rRNA from 1 species